rnacentral:rRNA from 1 species
GACGUAGGGCGCGAGCGUUGUCCGGAUUUAUUGGGCGUAAAGAGCGUGUAGGCGGCCAGGUAGGUCUGCUGUGAAAACUCGAGGCUCAACCUCGAGAUGUCGGCGGAAACCAUCUGGCUAGAGUCCGGAAGAGGAGAGUGGAAUUCCUGGUGUAGCGGUGAAAUGCGCAGAUAUCAGGAGGAACACCAGUGGCGAAGGCGCCGCUCUGGGCCGUGACUGACGCUGAGGAGCGAAAGCGUGGGGAGCGAACAGG